ACCAGCAGCCAUAUCACUCUGCAACUCACAACUGGCAACCCACUGAAGCUAAGCAGGUGUGAGCCUGCUCAGUAACUGGAUGGGAGACCUCCUGAGAAAAACUAAGGUUGCUGCUGGAA
rnacentral:rRNA from 1 species